rnacentral:rRNA from 1 species
UAGGGAAUCUUCGGCAAUGGACGAAAGUCUGACCGAGCAACGCCGCGUGAGUGAAGAAGUUUUUCGGAUCGUAAAACUCUGUUGUUAGAGAAGAACAAUGACGUUAGUAACUGAACGUCCCCUGACGGUAUCUAACCAGAAAGCCACGGCUAACUACGUGCCAGCAGCCGCGGUAAUACGUAGGUGGCAAGCGUUGUCCGGAUUUAUUGGGCGUAAAGCGAGCGCAGGCGGUUUCUUAAGUCUGAUGUGAAAGCCCCCGGCUCAACCGGGGAGGGUCAUUGGACACUGUGAGACUUGAGUGCAGAAGAGGAGAGUGGAAUUCCAUGUGUAGCGGUGAAAUGCGUAGAUAUAUGGAGGAACACCAGUGGCGAAGUCGGCUCUCUGGUCUGAAACUGACGAUGAGGCUCGAAAGCGUGGGGGGCAAACAGG